rnacentral:rRNA from 1 species
UGACCUCGGAUCAGGUAGGGAUACCCGCUGAACUUAAGCAUAUCAAUAAGCGGAGGAAAAGAAACCAACAGGGAUUGCCCUAGUAACGGCGAGUGAAGCGGCAACAGCUCAAAUUUGAAAUCUGGCUCUUUCAGAGUCCGAGUUGUAAUUUGCAGAGGGCGCUUUGGCUUUGGCAGCG